rnacentral:misc_RNA from 1 species
UUUCCGUAGGUGAACCUGCGGAAGGAUCAUUAAUGAGUUGUCAUGGGGUUCGAUGCUGGCAGCCAAUUUUUGGAUGCAUGUGAUUGCCCUAACAAUCAUCUUCCAAACACCUGUGCACAUUUUUGAGGUAGUCUUGAGUUGGUUGCCGCUCUUGGGUGAUUUUCUCACAUUCCCUUAAACCAUUAUACGCUAUUAACAAUGUUGAACGUGCUCUGUGCCGCAAGGCUAUUAUUAUAAUACAACUUUUAACAACGGAUCUCUUGGCUCUC